rnacentral:lncRNA from 1 species
CUGUACUGUCAAUCAAAUGCUUCUGCAAGGUGCUACCAGUCCCCCACUCAACUCCAGUCUCCGCCCUGCUGUUGUUGAUCUCAACCGAUGAUGUCCCCUCACAAACUAAACCCACUUGACUCUGCCACAGCAGUCAUGUUGGUUUCCUGUACCACAGCAGGCAUGUUGGUUUCCUGUACCACAGCAGGCAUGUUGGUUUCCUGUACCACACCAGUCAUGCUGGUUUCCUGUACCACACCAGGCAUGUUGGUUUCCUGUAGCACACCAGGCACAGUAUAAUUUAGAAUCAAGAUGGCAUGGAAUAUUAUGCAGGAAUAUUAUGUAGUCACUGAAAGAAAGAAAG